UACACUCCUGCGGGAGGCAGCAGUGGGGAAUAUUGGACAAUGGGCGCAAGCCUGAUCCAGCCAUGCCGCGUGAGUGAUGAAGGCCCUAGGGUUGUAAAGCUCUUUCACCGGUGAAGAUAAUGACGGUAACCGGAGCAGAAGCCCCGGCUAACUUCGUGCCAGCAGCCGCGGUAAUACGAAGGGGGCUAGCGUUGUUCGGAUUUACUGGGCGUAAAGCGCACGUAGGCGGACUAUUAAGUCAGGGGUGAAAUCCCGGGGCUCAACCCCGGAACUGCCUUUGAUACUGGUAGUCUUGAGUUCGAGAGAGGUGAGUGGAAUUCCGAGUGUAGAGGUGAAAUUCGUAGAUAUUCGGAGGAACACCAGUGGCGAAGGCGGCUCACUGGCUCGAUACUGACGCUGAGGUGCGAAAGCGUGGGGAGCAAACAGGAUUAGAUACCCGAGUAGUCCCAUGAU
rnacentral:rRNA from 1 species